UACGUAGGGGGCAAGCGUUGUCCGGAAUCAUUGGGCGUAAAGCGCGUGUAGGCGGCUCGAUAAGUCCGCUGUGAAAGUCCAGGGCUCAACCCUGGAAUGCCGGUGGAUACUGUCGGGCUCGAGUCCGGAAGAGGCGAGUGGAAUUCCUGGUGUAGCGGUGAAAUGCGCAGAUAUCAGGAGGAACACCGAUUGCGAAGGCAGCUCGCUGGGACGCGACUGACGCUGAGACGCGAAAGCGUGGGGAGCAAACAGG
rnacentral:rRNA from 1 species